rnacentral:rRNA from 1 species
UCGCCUGGGUUUUAAAAACAUAGCUUUAUGAAGUUUAUAUUAAGUUUAACCUGCCCGGUGAUUAAUUUAACGGCCGCAGUACUUUGACUGUGCUAAGGUAGCAUAAUAAAUUGACUUUUAAUUGAAGUCUAGAAUGAAUGGGUAAAUGGAUAUUUACUGUCUUAUUAAAAAUUUUUUUAAAGUUUCUUAAAAGGUGAAAAUUCCUUUAGUUUAAUAUAAUAGACGAGAAGACCCUAGGAGUUUAAAAUUUUGUUGGGGCGACAUUACAGCAGAAACAAACCUGUAAUAAAUAUAUAAAUUUUACAAUACUUAUUAUUAAAAUUAAACUACCCUAGGGAUAACAGCAUAAUUUUUUGAAAGUUUGUGACCUCGAUGUUGGAUUAGGAACUUUUAAUAUUAGUUUUAUUAAUAGAUGUGUUCUGUUCGAACAUAAUUACCUACGUGAUCUGAUUCAGA